UAUGGGGGUCUAUGGGGGGGAUAUGGGGGGCUAAGGGGGGGAUAUGGGGGUCUAUGGGGUGUCUAUGGGGGUCUAUGGGGAUCUAUGGGGGGUCUAUGGGGGGUCUAUGGGUGUCUAUGGGGGUCUAUGGGGGGUCUAUGGGGGUCUAUGGGGGGUCUAUGGGGGGUCUAUGGGUGUCUAUGGGGGGACUAUGGGGGUCUAUGGGGGGCUAAGGGGGGGAUAUGGGGGUCUAUGGGGGUCUAUGGGGGGGAUAUGGGGGGCUAAGGGGGGGAUAUGGGGGUAUAUGGGGGUCUAUGGGGGUCCUAUGGGGGGUCUAUGGGGGGUCUAUGGGGGUCUAUGGGGGGUCUAUGGGGGGUCUAUGGGGGUCUAUGGGGGUCUAUGGGGGUCUAUGGGGGGUCUAUGGGGGUCUAUGGGGGGGAUAUGGGGGUCUAUGGGGGGGCUAUGGGGGGUCUAUGGGGGUCUAUGGGGGUCUAUGGGGGGUCUAUGGGGGUCUAUGGGGGUCUAUGGGGGGGAUAUGGGGGGCUAAGGGGGGGAUAUGGGGGUAUAUGGGGGUCUAUGGGGGUCCUAUGGGGGGUCUAUGGGGGGGAUAGGGGGGCUAUGGGGGUCUAUGGGGGGGAUAUGGGGGGACUAUGGGGGGGCUAUGGGGGUCUAUGGGGGGGCUAUGGGGGGGCUAUGGGGGGGCUAUGGGGGGUCUAUGGGGUUCUAUGGGGGUCUAUGGGGGGUCUAUGGGUGUCUAUUGGGGUCUAUGGGGGCCUAUGGGGCACUAUGGGGGUCUAUGGGUUUCUAUGGGGGUCUAUGGGGUGUGUGACCCCAUAUCCCCCCCUCCCCAGUGGUCUGGGUUACAUCACAGGGGCAAAGGUCAAGGAGGUGGCGACUGAUUGGCGGUGGGCCCUGCGGGUGACCCCUGUACUGGGGCUGUUGGCACUGGUGCUACUGGUGACCCUGGUGACCGAUGCCCCCCGGGGGGGCACCGAGACCCCCCCCCGGGACCCCCCUGACCCACAGCGCGUGGGGCAGUGACCUCAGGGACCUGCUCACCAAGUGGGUGCAAUGGGGUAAUGGGGACAUGGGGGUAAUGGGGACAUGGGGGUAAUGGGGGUAAUGG
rnacentral:lncRNA from 1 species